rnacentral:tRNA from 1 species
AGCUUGGUGGCGCAGCAAAAGCGCGCCGGGCUCAUAACCCAGAGGUCCCUCGAUCGAAACGAGGCCAAGCUA